rnacentral:rRNA from 1 species
GUGGGGAAUUUUGGACAAUGGGCGAAAGCCUGAUCCAGCAAUGCCGCGUGCAGGAAGAAGGCCUUCGGGUUGUAAACUGCUUUUGUACGGAACGAAACGGUCCUGGCUAAUAUCCGGGGCUAAUGACGGUACCGUAAGAAUAAGCACCGGCUAACUACGUGCCAGCAGCCGCGGUAAUACGUAGGGUGCGAGCGUUAAUCGGAAUUACUGGGCGUAAAGCGUGCGCAGGCGGUGCUGUAAGACAGGCGUGAAAUCCCCGGGCUCAACCUGGGAAUUGCGCUUGUGACUGCAGUGCUGGAGUGCGGCAGAGGGGGAUGGAAUUCCGCGUGUAGCAGUGAAAUGCGUAGAUAUGCGGAGGAACACCGAUGGCGAAGGCAAUCCCCUGGGCCUGCACUGACGCUCAUGCACGAAAGCGUGGGGAGCAAACAGGAUUAGAAACCCGUGUAGUCC